rnacentral:lncRNA from 1 species
CAUCCAUCUUUAGCACUUCUAAUCAAUCAAAGUUAUUGUAUUCUAACAUUUUCUAACCCCAAAUAAUACUAGAUAAGUCAGAAGUUGUUCAACGCAAUGUUUUACUGAGUUCUUAGCCCAUUUGGGACCCGAUUUCAACAAGUAUUUCUCCAUACUUCAAAAAACUCUUCAUGCUUCUCUAGCACUUGUAAUCAAUCAAAUUCAUUGUAUGCUAACAUAUUCUAACCCCAAACAACACUAGAUAAGUCAUUUAGUUGUUCAUUGCAAUGUUUUCGAGUGCUUAGCCCAUUAGGGACCCAAUUUAAACAAGACUUUAUCCACACUUCUAAACACUCUUUAUGCAUCUCUAGCACUUGUAAUCAAUCAAAUUUAUUAUAUCCUAACAUAUUCUAAACCCAAACAACACUAGAUAAGUCCUUUAGUGGUUCAACGCAAUGUUUCCGAGUUCUUAGCCCAUUUGGGACCCAAUUUCAACAAGUCUUUC